GAUGAACGCUAGCUACAGGCUUAACACAUGCAAGUCGCGGGGCAGCAUGGGGGUUGCUUGCCAUCCCCGAUGGCGACCGGCGCACGGGUGAGUAACGCGUAUCCAACCUGCCCUUCACCACGGGAUAACCCGGCGAAAGUCGGACUAAUACCGUAUGUUGUCCAUUGACGGCAUCCGAUUUGGACGAAAGGCUUGGCGGUGAGGGAUGGGGAUGCGUCCGAUUAGCCAGACGGCGGGGUAACGGCCCACCGUGGCUACGAUCGGUAGGGGUUCUGAGAGGAAGGUCCCCCACACUGGAACUGAGGCACGGUCCAGACUCCUACGGGAGGCAGCAGUGAGGAAUAUUGGGCAAUGGGCGUAAGCCUGAACCAGCCAAGUAGCGUGCAGGAGGACGGCCCUAUGGGUUGUAAACUGCUUUUAUGCGGGGAUAAAGUGGCCCACGUGUGGGCUUUUGCAGGUACCGCAUGAAUAAGGACCGGCUAAUUCCGUG
rnacentral:rRNA from 1 species